rnacentral:rRNA from 1 species
CCUACGGGUGGCUGCAGUGGGGAAUAUUGGACAAUGGGCGAAAGCCUGAUCCAGCAAUGCCGCGUGAGUGAUGAAGGCCUUAGGGUUGUAAAGCUCUUUUACCCGGGAAGAUAAUGACUGUACCGGGAGAAUAAGCCCCGGCUAACUCCGUGCCAGCAGCCGCGGUAAUACGGAGGGGGCUAGCGUUGUUCGGAAUUACUGGGCGUAAAGCGCACGUAGGCGGCUUUGUAAGUUAGAGGUGAAAGCCUGGAGCUCAACUCCAGAAUUGCCUUUAAGACUGCAUCGCUUGAAUCCAGGAGAGGUGAGUGGAAUUCCGAGUGUAGAGGUGAAAUUCGUAGAUAUUCGGAAGAACACCAGUGGCGAAGGCGGCUCACUGGACUGGUAUUGACGCUGAGGUGCGAAAGCGUGGGGAGCAAACAGGAUUAGAUACCCCAGUAGUC